AGGAGGCGACCUCUGGUCUACCUGCUGUUCCGCCAGGAGCAUCGCAGGGUAGCUAUGUCGCUAAGUGAUAAGCGCUGAAAGCAUCUAAGCGCGAAGUAUGCCCCAAGAUUAGGAAUCUUGUCUGCCGUCAGGCAGGCGUAGACCCGUGGGAGAUUACCACGUUGAUAGGCUCCAGGUGUAAGUCCCGCAAGGGAUUAAGCCAAGGAGUACUAAUAAGUC
rnacentral:rRNA from 1 species